CCUUGACAGCCCUCCGCAGGGAGAUUUGAGAAAGGAGACUGGAGGGGAUCAGCGCUGCGCGCCUCCUCCUGGUGGAAAUUGACGAGGAAUGUGCCGGAAAAGCACAAACACACAUACAUACAAAAUGGAGAAGAGGAAAUGCCACUAUUCAGUGUCUUAACUUCAGAUAUGUUUGAGAUCAAGCCGCAGAGAACCCAAUGCAUCUCUUCAGAAGCCAAACGUGCUGUGUGUGAGCACACCAAAGUGCCCAAGGCAUUUGGUGAAGUUCAGAUCUCCACUCAUUUUAAUGGAGAGCUGAUUUAGGAAGGAGAUACGCUGGCUUAGAAGGCUCUUUCAAGAAUGACAGACAUGUGAAUGCGCCCUGGCAUUGCAUAGAAGGCCCUGCAACCUAAAAAGGGUUGCAAUGAAGAGCCGUGGCCACUUAAUACAACUCUUCUGGCUUUAACAUUGGUUGAAGAGUGAAUUUCUAAAAUUAUGGUUCUUGCAGGUGCUCCCCAUGGCCAAACUCAACCAGAUGUCAGAGGGCAGGGGAGCCCUGGUGAAGUAGUCUGCAGGGAUUCCCCACCCCUGGCCCAGAACAGGCUGACUGUGUCUACUUUGGAGAAGAUGAGUCCUGACGGCACCAGACUUAUAUAGUUUUUGUUGUUCAUGACUUCAAAUGAGUAAAAAAAUCCCUACGUCUGAUCAUCCAUAAUAAUCCUUGAAAAACAUUGGCUCUGCUUUGAUUGCAUGCUCAUCCUUGGACUGAUCGCUGUGUUUGAGGGGGAAUGCAAUGCUGUUAUUGACCAGACUGAGUCAUAGGCUCACUCUCAGUGGGAUAGGCAAGGGUAUGUGGUUGACAGCCUCAACUGUUAAGAAACAGUUCCCAAAAGAGAAGGAAGCUGGACAGAUUUAAAAAGAAAAAAAGGUUGGAUAAUAAAAACGGGUACAAAAAUUA